rnacentral:rRNA from 1 species
CAGUCGCCGCGGGAAAACGAAGGGGGCUAGCGUUGCUCGGAAUCACUGGGCGUAAAGGGUGCGUAGGCGGGUUUUUAAGUCAGGGGUGAAAUCCUGGAGCUCAACUCCAGAACUGCCCUUGAUACUGGGAAUCUUGAGUAUGGGAGAGGUGAGUGGAACUGCGAGUGUAGAGGUGAAAUUCGUAGAUAUUCGCAAGAACACCAGUGGCGAAGGCGGCUCACUGGCCCAUAACUGACGCUGAGGCACGAAAGCGUGGGGAGCAAACAGGAUUAGAUACCCCGGUAGUCCCUGUCUCUUAUAC